rnacentral:rRNA from 1 species
UACGAAGGGUGCAAGCGUUACUCGGAAUUACUGGGCGUAAAGCGUGCGUAGGCGGUUUGUUAAGUCUGUCGUGAAAGCCCUGGGCUCAACCUGGGAAUGGCAGUGGAUACUGGCAAGCUAGAGUGUGUCAGAGGAUGGUGGAAUUCCCGGUGUAGCGGUGAAAUGCGUAGAGAUCGGGAGGAACAUCAGUGGCGAAGGCGGCCAUCUGGGACAACACUGACGCUGAGGCACGAAAGCGUGGGGAGCAAACAGG